rnacentral:rRNA from 1 species
GAAGUGUGGACGCCAGUCUGCAUGGAGCCGGCCUUGAAAUACCACCCUUUAAUGUUUGAUGUUCUAACGUUGGCCCCUGAUCGGGGUUGCGGACAGUGUCUGGUGGGUAGUUUGACUGGGGCGGUCUCCUCCUAAAGAGUAACGGAGGAGCACGAAGGUUGGCUAAUCCUGGUCGGACAUCAGGAGGUUAGUGCAAUGGCAUAAGCCAGCUUGACUGCGAGCGUGACGGCGCGAGCAGGUGCGAAAGCAGGUCAUAGUGAUCCGGUGGUUCUGAAUGGAAGGGCCAUCGCUCAACGGAUAAAAGGUACUCCGGGGAUAACAGGCUGAUACCGCCCAAGAGUUCAUAUCGACGGCGGUGUUUGGCACCUCGAUGUCGGCUCAUCACAUCCUGGGGCUGAAGUAGGUCCCAAGGGUAUGGCUGUUCGCCAUUUAAAGUGGUACGCGAGCUGGGUUUAGAACGUCGUGAGACAGUUCGGUCCCUAUCUGCCGUGGGCGCUGGAGAACUGAGGGGGGCUGCUCCUAGUACGAGAGGACCGGAGUGGACGCAUCACUGGUGUUCGGGUUGUCAUGCCAAUGGCACUGCCCGGUAGCUAAAUGCGGAAGAGAUAAGUGCUGAAAGCAUCUAAGCACGAAACUUGCCCCGAGAUGAGUUCUCCCUGACUCCUUGAGAGUCCUGAAGGAACGUUGAAGACGACGACGUUGAUAGGCCGGGUGUGUAAGCGCAGCGAUGCGUUGAGCUAACCGGUACUAAUGAAC